AUGAAGAAACUUGCUUGGAACACGAUGGGAAGGAGUGACAUAUUGGAAUAAAGAUUUUUUUGCCUAGUUUUGCUAGUUUUAAUUAAAAUGAUUUACCAGCAUUAGCAAUAAAUAUAUAUUGCAAUUGCCAAAAUAGUUGAUGGAGGUUGCUGUGUACUUGUUCUAGCUCAUAAUCAAUUCAUGCAUCAUUUGUGCUCUUCUUCUAUGGUGGGUAUUUAAAAUAUGCUUUUCCAUUUUUUUUUUCAUUAAUGAAACUUUAUAAAAUUGUAGAGAUUACUUUGCUUCAAUGAUCCAACUUAGUCGUAGUAGGAUAG
rnacentral:misc_RNA from 1 species